rnacentral:tRNA from 1 species
GCGUCGGUCGGGCAACUGGCUGGCCCGCCUGGCCGUAGACCAGGUCCCUUCGGGGCGUGCAGGUUCGAGUCCUGCCCGGCGCACCA